UUUUCUCUCCAUCACCGGAUGUAGCUGGGUGGUGAUCCCGUCCAGAGAGGACAGGAACACUCAGGAGUGAGGAGAACCCAACCCAACUGGCUGUUUCGGGUCAGAACCAUUUAAACGUCAAGAUACAGAACCAAGAUCAGCUGGUUCUGUCAGGAAGGAAGGAUUUUGUCCGUUUUUAGUCUCUUUGGUGGGAUGAAGGAACCAUUUACAUCAAUAUUUAAAUGAUAUGAGAUUAUUUCAGCCUUUCACCACCUUCAUGUAGUUGAUCACGUUUAGAGUUUCCCACCAGUCAGCAUGACAUGGACAUGCAGGUCAGGUCUCAUCAGUCUGGACCAGGGGUCACCAACCUGGUGCCCCAUAAGGUGCCCCAUAAGGUGCCCUCGGGCGUGUUCUAAAACAGCACAACUCGCCGCUCAGCAAAGUAGGAAACAUCAUGUUUUAAAUCACUCUUUAUGUGAUCCCAACCAUGGAUGCUCACACGACUGUGGUAACUACAGCCAUGUUGUUGUUCAUAACUAAACAUGCACUAUCAAGUCUAACGCUACAGAGGAACCAAGCUAGCAAUGGGAGCUAGGCUAGGCUUCAGAAGUGAACAUUGGUGAGCAGCAGAACAGUUUGAUACUAAGAAACUUUCUACAGAUGCUACCUUAGCUCCAAGGAUGCUAACGGAGAAGUGCAGAGUAGGUCAGGAGCUCAUGGCAGUGCUGAGAGAGGAGCUGUGGUGCAUGAGGAGGUCUGGAGUUACCAAAAAGUGUUAAGAGUGGUGAAGAACAUGUAGAAGAGCUGUGAGACGGCAGCGAGGCGUGCUGUAGGAGUUACAAGGUGGAUUUGAGAGUGCACCAAGGAUCUGCUCUGAGCCCCUCCACGUUUGCUUUGGUGAUGGACGGGCUGAUAGGAGAUGCCACAGGAGUCUCCAUGAACUUUGAUGUUUGCAGAUGCCAGUGAUCUGCUGUGAGAGCAUGGUGCAGGUAGAGGAGGAGCUAGAGAGGUGGAGAUGUGUCCCGGAGAAGCAGAAUCCAUGUGUGUAAACGAGAGGGAACGGUGAUGUUACAGGCAGUAGAAGGAAAGAAGGUAGAGGUCUUCAUGGACUUAGGGUUUAUGGUCCAAAGCAACAGAGAAGUUGGAAAAGAGGUGAAGAAGCAUGUGGAGCAGGUUAGAAGGGGUGGAUGUCAGAUGUGCGUAAAAGGAAAGGUGUAGAAGACCGACGUGAGGACAGCCAUGUUGGGUGAGGACAAGUCCGACAACAUCUGAGGAGGUUCCAAAGAUGUUGAGGCUCUCUGUGGGAGUGAGGAGGGUGGGAUCAGGAACGAGUCCAUCAGAGGAACAGCCUGUUAGAUGAUCACGUCCCACUGAGAUGUUUGGACAUGUCAGGGCAGGAGAUUUAAGAAUGAGGUGAGAGAGGACAUGAGUUAGUUGGUCUGAGGGUGGAGGACGCAGAAGAUAGGACUGUAGAGACUCCUAAAGGGACUUUCUCUGAUAUAGAAUUUAACCUGUUAAAAACCUUAAAAUGUGUUUAUUAUACAUGAAGUUCAGUUCAACUCAAAUCGGUUCUAGGUCAAAGGUCACCGUUGUGCACAUAACUAAGGAAGCGCUUCCCAAGGCUCGGUGGUGGUGGAGCAGCUCUCGGCCCUGCUCCAGACCCGUGUUGGACGUGGAAACCGGGUCUGUUACUUGGAUGUCCGACUGUGACCCCACCUGUGGACCGAUGCUGGUCUAUCCCAGCACACCGUUGUGUCUGCAGCUGCUGCAGACUUCAGCCGCUGGACUUUAACCGGAAACUAGAAAAGAACGAGUCCCUGCACCGGCUUCCAGUCACACCUCGUGUUGUUUUAAGACGUAGCCGUUUGCUGUCAGAGCUCCUAAAGGUCCGACCUCUGCAUUUACCACUCGGCUCCUUUCCUCUGAUAAUGAAGGACGACGUCUACGCUCAGCAAAGCGGUGGCUUUUCCCAUGGUGUUUGCUGCUAACAAGAAGAUAAAAGAACCUGUUGAACAUCAGUUGCAGCGUGGCGUUUUGUUCCACAAAAACUAAAUGUCCUUCAUGAGCAGUGACAGUGAAAGCGUGGCCUGUUACGAAGCACGCAGCCAGAGCCGUGCACGCCGUGCUUUGAAGACGGCAGUCCACACGGAACAGUCUGCGGCCCGAUCCGAGUGAAAUAAAGAACAACAUACCAUACGACAUUUUGGGAGUUGAGCAACUUUGCAGAGCUUUUCAACGUCAUAUGGAAACCAGGUCAGACUGUAUCUACGAGCUGAAAGGAGAAAAACGGACAUUAAAGUCAGCUUCCCAAACCUCAUCAGUCCUCCAAGCUCUCCAGAGAACAGCACCUCCUAACUUUGAAGGUAUAACCAACGAGAUCCCAAAAUACCUCCCAGCGCCCGACUGUGAUACCGGAGUAGCGUCAAAAGAAGUGAGUUAUCUCCAGUUCAAGCUUUGAAGGACUCUUCAGCAACGACUAGACUUCCAGUACCGGAGCCGUUUACCCUUACAGGAGACCCACUGAAGUUUAUGAGUGGAGCACUUGCUCCGAGGCUCUUAUUGAGACUAGCUGCACAGAUCCAGCCCGUAAACUGUUCUGCUUGAAUAAGUACAUCAGUGGAGAAGCUCUUUGUGUUUUAGAAGGGACUUUCUAUCACAGUGAUGAGGAAGCUUACAGCCAAGCUCGGGAUGCUCUGGACAAACGUUAUGGCCACCCAUUUGUAGUUCAAAGAGCUUUUCGGGCAUAACUAAGCAGUUGACCAAAGAUUGGACCAGAGGAGUCACUAAAGUAGAGAGAGUUUGGUGAUUUCCUUGUUUCCUGUAAGAAUGCUAUGCCCCAUGUUCAAGGCCUCAAAGUGUUGGAUGAUUGUGAGGAGAAUCAAAAAAUACUACUGAAACUUCCUGAUUGGGCAACAACCCGCUGUGUUUCUGUAGCCCAACAGAAACGCCCCGCGGCUGGCUGGACCAUGCUCAGUAGAGCUCCGGACGUCACGUGACUCUCAGAGAGUAGACGCCAUGUCGGCAGGCAACAAAUGUAAACAAAUUGAACGGGAUCGGCUUGGAUUUUACUUCGUCGGAGUUUACUUCACACUUUUAAACCGAAUAAAUCGUUUUAUAUAGUCAGAAAUUAAAUAGACUAAACAUCUCCGACCCUUACCGUGCCCCUGGGAUACUUUUUAAAAACCCCAGAAGCUGUCGGAGCGGGCUUCUUACCGGACCUGGCCGGGGAACCCCUUGGGAUUCCCCCGGAGGAGCUGGCUCAGGCGGCUGGGGAGAGGGAAGUCUGGGCCUCUCGACUUAGGCUGCUGCUCCCGUAACCCGACUCCGGAUAAGCGGAUGAAAAUGGAUGGAUGGACAAAUAACAGAUUUACAUGUAAGUAGUUUAAAUCGAGUGCUGUGCUGUUUGAAUGUAUAAACUGAACACCAAGAGAAAUCACUAGUUUGAUUUUAUCCGUGAAUAAAAUAAAAAUGUCAGGCAGGAGCGUCUCAGGAUCUGUCUGAGAUCUGUCUCGGUGAGACAGAUAAUAGCAAUCCAAAGUGCUUUUUAUGUGUGAUCUGACAAUUGAUCAACCAUUGCUUAAAAAUUAAAUACAGCUUAGUCGGUUAAUUGCUGUGAUCAUAAAACACGUAAACGGCAGCACGCAGAACUCACGAGGCAACGUUUUACAUGACGUUUACUUGUU